rnacentral:lncRNA from 1 species
CCGGGGCAUCCUAGCGGGACGCAGGUAGAGACGGCGGCGCUGCGCAGCUUGCUUUAGGGAAGGCUUUUUGGAGGGGUACCGUUGAAUGCCGCUCCGGAGGACGCGCACCAGGGCUUGCUGGAGGAAGUUGAGGAGAGAAUGUUGAAGCUUGAGCAGAUCUCCCAGCUGGACACUGGAAAUAGCUUUUGAUGGUUUAGGGCCUCUUUCACUUGACCUCAGAAGAAUGCAGGAUUGGUGUGGCAGAAAUACAUGUUAUCAAAGACA